GACGAACGCUGGCGGCGUGCUUAACACAUGCAAGUCGAACGGAAAGGCCCUGCUUUUGUGGGGUGCUCGAGUGGCGAACGGGUGAGUAACACGUGAGUAACCUGCCCUUGACUUUGGGAUAACUUCAGGAAACUGGGGCUAAUACCGGAUAGGAGCUCCUGCUGCAUGGUGGGGGUUGGAAAGUUUCGGCGGUUGGGGAUGGACUCGCGGCUUAUCAGCUUGUUGGUGGGGUAGUGGCUUACCAAGGCUUUGACGGGUAGCCGGCCUGAGAGGGUGACCGGCAACAUGGGGACUGAGAUACGCCCAAGCCUCCUCCGGGAGGCAGAAGUGGGGAAUAGUGCACAAGGGGCGGAAGCCUGAUGCAGCAACGCCGCGGGCGGGAGGAGGCCUUUCGGGUUGAAAACCGUUUUCGCCUGUGACGAAGCGUGAGUGACGGUAAGGGGUAAAGAGGCACCGGCUAACUACG
rnacentral:rRNA from 1 species